rnacentral:pre_miRNA from 1 species
GGUAAGGGAGCAUGCUUGGCAGAGUAGGAUGGCAUGGUUUUUAUGGCAAUUAUUGAGAGGGAAAGGCAUAUAUACAGGAUUCACUCCUCCGGGGCGUGGAAGGUUCCCAGCCAAAGCGUCUCUGAUCUCUGCUGCGUAUCGACUCCACAACC